UGAACGCUGGCGGCGUGCCUAAUACAUGCAAGUAGAACGCUGAAGCUUGGUGCUUGCACCGAGCGGAAGAGUUGCGAACGGGUGAGUAACGCGUAGGUAACCUGCCUCUUAGCGGGGGAUAACUAUUGGAAACGAUAGCUAAUACCGCAUAAAAGUCGGCAUUGCAUGAUGUUGACUUGAAAGGUGCAACUGCAUCACUAAGAGAUGGACCUGCGUUGUAUUAGCUAGUUGGUGAGGUAACGGCUCACCAAGGCGACGAUACAUAGCCGACCUGAGAGGGUGAUCGGCCACACUGGGACUGAGACACGGCCCAGACUCCUACGGGAGGCAGCAGUAGGGAAUCUUCGGCAAUGGACGGAAGUCUGACCGAGCAACGCCGCGUGAGUGAAGAAGGUUUUCGGAUCGUAAAGCUCUGUUGUAAGAGAAGAACGAGUGUGAGAGUGGAAAGUUCACACUGUGACGGUAACUUACCAGAAAGGGACGGCUAACUACGUGCCAGCAGCCGCGGUAAUACGUAGGUCCCGAGCGUUAUCCGGAUUUAUUGGGCGUAAAGCGAGCGCAGGCGGUUAGAUAAGUCUGAAGUUAAAGGCUGUGGCUUAACCAUAGUACGCUUUGGAAACUGUUUAACUUGAGUGCAGAAGGGGAGAGUGGAAUUCCAUGUGUAGCGGUGAAAUGCGUAGAUAUAUGGAGGAACACCGGUGGCGAAAGCGGCUCUCUGGUCUGUAAC
rnacentral:rRNA from 1 species